GACGAACGCUGGCGGCGUGCCUAAUACAUGCAAGUCGAGCGCAGGAAGUCGACGGAACCCUUCGGGGGGAAGUCGACGGAAUGAGCGGCGGACGGGUAAGUAACACGUAAAGAACCUGCCCUCAGGUCUGGGAUAACCACGAGAAAUCGGGGCUAAUACCGGAUGGGUCAUCGGACCGCAUGGUCCGAGGAUGAAAGGCGCUCCGGCGUCGCCUGGGGAUGGCUGUGCGGUGCAUUAGCUAGUUGGUGGGGUAAUGGCCCACCAAGGCGACGAUGCAUAGCCGACCUGAGAGGGUGAUCGGCCACACUGGGACUGAGACACGGCCCAGACUCCUACGGGAGGCAGCAGUAGGGAAUCUUCCACAAUGGACGAAAGUCUGAUGGAGCAACGCCGCGUGAACGAUGAAGGCCUUCGGGUCGUAAAGUUCUGUUGUAAGGGAAGAACAAGUGCCGCAGGCAAUGGCGGCACCUUGACGGUACCUUGCGAGAAAGCCACGGCUAACUACGUGCCAGCCGCCGCCGUAACAC
rnacentral:rRNA from 1 species